rnacentral:rRNA from 1 species
GAUGAACGCUAGCUACAGGCUUAACACAUGCAAGUCGAGGGGCAGCAUGAUUGAAGCUUGCUUCAAUCGAUGGCGACCGGCGCACGGGUGAGUAACACGUAUCCAACCUGCCGAUAACUCGGGGAUAGCCUUUCGAAAGAAAGAUUAAUACCCGAUAGUAUAGUAUUUCCGCAUGGUUUCACUAUUAAAGAACUUCGGUUAUCGAUGGGGAUGCGUUCCAUUAGAUAGUUGGCGGGGUAACGGCCCACCAAGUCAACGAUGGAUAGGGGUUCUGAGAGGAAGGUCCCCCACAUUGGAACUGAGACACGGUCCAAACGCCUACGGGAGGCAGCAGUGAGGAAUAUUGGUCAAUGGACGAGAGUCUGAACCAGCCAAGUAGCGUGAAGGAGGACUGCCCUAUGGGUUGUAAACUUCUUUUAUACGGGAAUAAAGUGGAGUAUGCAUACUCCUUUGUAUGUACCGUAUGAAUAAGGAGCGGCUAACUCCGUG